rnacentral:rRNA from 1 species
AUGAAAAUUAUCGAUCAAAAAAUUCUGAAACUAGAAGAACUGAAAGACUGUUUUUCCGUGGUUCUUGGUGUUGAUCAGGUUCCUCGUGGAAAACCUUGCCCUGACAUAUAUCUGGAAGCCGCAGAGAGACUCGGCGUAAAUCCAUCAUCAUGCCUGGUCAUAGAAGAUUCUCUUGUUGGAAUCCGGGGUGCCAAGGCUUCUGGGGCAAAGGUAGUCGCUGUUCCGUCACUCCAAACUGAAAGGAAACGUUACUCAAUUGCCGAUCUUGUCCUCUGUUCACUGCUGGACUUCCAUCCUGAACUAUGGGAUCUUCCUCCAUUUGACGAUCGUAACUUUCUCGAUUUCUCCAUUCUCCAUUAA